ACUCCUGCUCUUUUCCCACUUUGUCAGCCAGGUAUGUUUUUUUUUUUUUUUUUUUAAUGCGGACAGUUAAGGUGUGCCUUUAUCUCGCGCUCUCUCACACACACACACACACACUCAGGGGGGGAAGUUGUUCAUGAUUAAGCUAUGUGCCAGCGAGGACGGCCGGCACACUGUAUACACUAUACGUAAGUGUUGCAACACCCUUAUUUAUAGCACUUUUCAAGAGUGCCCAAAGGUGACUGCAAUAUCAAAUCGGAUCGCCUACCGUUCCGCUCAGUGUUGACACCGUCGAGCGCACAUGUGGAGAAAGUUCACAGGACCCGUUUCAUUUUCCCUUGCCUGAUACUUUCUUUCUUGUUUGUCAAAUAAAUUCCCAUCUAUUUGUUAGCCGGCCAAGCAUAUUUUGACUGUUCAAAUACAGGUGUUGGUUUUCUCCACAGAGGCACUGACAAUGCCAUUAGGAUAGAAUGAAUGGCCUAAGGAUUUGUUGCCAAGGGGACAAAGCAAACAAACUGUUUUGUUGUCGCACAUGUAAAUGGUGCAGGCCGGUCACUCUGACCACCUUUUCAGGUAUUUCUCAGCAGUGUACCGUACGUGCUACGCGAUGAUAUUACACCUAUGUGGUGAGAUCAAAUUAAAACACUGUUCUACACUUGGUUUCAAGUGAAUGGCAUGAUGAGCAAAAUUUUGCUUCUUGCUACAUCUGCGGAUGAGCUUGUCCUGCUCCAAUCUGACUGCAAGCGGCUCGGUGUCAUUGCAUUUUUUUUUUCUUCAGGGAAGGGCUCGCUUUUAUUUGAAUAAUUACUACAGCACAGUAACAUUUAGUUCUUUCCGUUUCGUGUGUGUGUGUGUGUGUGUGUGUGUGUGUGUGUGUGUGUAAACUUCAUACGGGUGUGCUUUCUCUUGAUGUGAUCUUAUUGGUGUGUUUGAGUGUACGAAUAGUUGCUGUACGGUUUAUUUAGUAUAACGACACGACACGACGACCUUUUACAGAACUUUCUAUGUUAUAUUUUGAUAUUUUGUUAUGUUCUGUUAUGAGCAUAUUUUCUGUGUUGCUGCGCAGUCAUAAAUAACAUUGUUUUACAAAUAUAUUAAGAUGGAGAAUUAUUUUUUGCCCUACGUAUUACCCCCCCCCCCCCCCCACUAAAAAAAAAACUGUAAUUCACUCUCGUCAGCUUUUGCUUCAGGCUGUUAUUUUUAAUAUGUCUGUGUGAUAUUUAUGAAGUCCAUCCAUUUGCAGUUUUUUUUUUCCCUUUCCCUCAUCAUUCAGAGUCUUAUUGGCACUUGAGCUCGUCCCGAUGGCGAAAUUAAAGAGGUUCACUUCACGUUACAUUUAAGUAGACGAUGUCCACGAGGGUAACCGGGACCACAAAGUCAUACGAGUUAGACUUGCUGACUUGCCUGUCAUGUGCGGUCACUGUCGGUGAGCGCUGUGCACUUUUAGUCAAGAAUAACAAGAGUCGAGUGAGACUCUUAUCGCGACACACCCUAAAUUUAAACUUUUCGCCAGUUGGGAAGAGGUGCCACCCCCCCACCCCCCUUUCCCCUACUUAUGAGUCAUAAUGUUGAUUGCUCUCACCCUCACAGAGUUGUCUCAUUAACCCUUUGUGGCACCCUCCAUCUUUUAUGGCCUUCCACAAAACCGGAAUGAAACGAGGGAGGAAAACAAGUCGUGGUCUGAAGGGCCUCAAUAACCUUCGAUCACAAUUUAGCCCGAACCUGAAUCAUUUUGAUGUCCUGGCAAUAAAAUAUGCUGUAGCGCUCCUCUUUCUCCUGUUCCUCGGAUGACAGCCAAUUUACAUUUUUUUAAUUAAACGAGGCAGAUUUUUUUUUUUAUUGGGGGGCUGGGUUAUGCUAAUAAGAAUGUUGUGUACAGCAGGUUAACAGAGUUUCGAAAUAAAUUUCACAGACAGACAUUUAGAUGUGGGGGGGAGGGGGGGGGACGUGAGUCAUUGUUUUAAACCUCUUCCAUGACAAUUUCUACUGAAUUCUGUCAAGCGAGGCUCCAUGAACUGACUCAAUUAAAGCAAAACAAAAAAAAAUACAUCUUAAAAAAAUACAUCAUUAUUUUUCUGUUCCAUCCAAAUAAAAACUUCAAAUGAAUUUUAUUGUAUGGGGCAAUAACAUGCUAAAAAAAUGAAAUGAUUGAUUGAUAAUUUGUCUUCCUCUGCAAAAUGUGUAUGUAUAUACAUAUUCAUUAAUUAAUGUUGAAUUUAAUGAAAUACUGUGGGGUUUUAUUUUUUUCAUUUUAGAAUUUUUUUUGUUCGUUUAUUUAGGACUCCUUUUCAUGUUUACCCAAUGUAAGGUUGAAGAAAAGAGACACCGGGUGAAGAUGAUUGCAAAACACAGUAGUUAAAUGCAGCUUUUAUGUUUGUGGAGUUUUAUGGUCCGCUCGCACCCCUUGAUUGAUGUUUUGCUUGUGUGUGUGUGUGUGUUGCUUGGUUUGUGCAGAGGGAGAGGAGCGGGAACAUGGUCGGGAGACAAGGGGAGGGAACUGCAUUAGUGUGUGUGUGUGUGUGUGUGUGUGUGUGUGUGUGUGUGUGUGUGUUAUGUGGAGAGAGGGGGACAGCAGAAUCCCGAUUGAGCAUGUGCCCAGUCAUCAAGUGGCCUUUUUAAAAAAAUUUUGCAAUCAAGUGAGAUCGAACAGUGGAAUCAAAUCCAGAUAAAGUGGGGCUGUCCCGCCUCUUACUGCAGUCGUCCAAGUGUUGGCGGCUACUUGAUAUUGGCCGCGAGUAAGGCAAGUGGCAUCAACACCCCCUUUCUUCACGGCUGUGCACUCAUGCAAUGGCCGGCACCUAAUUAAAACCUCAAAGCUCCGCGUCACCAAUAUGGACUAAUGGCCUAAUUAAUACUCUGAACAAAAAAUAUAAAGGAGCAGGUUGCACCUUUGGACUUUUUGGGGCUAAAAUUUAAAACAACAAAAAAAAUGUUUAUGGUUGUUUUGGUCUCAUUGAGAAGAUUUAUUUUAUUUAUUUUCAUUUAUAUUAUUAAUUUUUAUACAUUUUAUAUAUUUAUUUAUUUAUUUUUAAGAGUCAUUUUAUUGUGCAUUUUAUCCGGCACGACAAAUUCAAAACUCAACUAAAAUUCCACAAAAAGAAAAAAAAAGAAAAAAAAAAGCUUGUAUCCUUCUCUAAUCUUACAUCACAAAUUCAAAUUUCACAGGGAGAAAGGGGAGAGAAAUAAUCUCAAGUCAUUGAUAUGCCAUAUAAGAGGGCAAAAUGGGAAAUGAAGAGCUAAUUAGCAGAGUGGCAGACUUUGGCGUGUUUGUCUGAAAGCGCGGUCUCCACCGGCCAUGAAUGAAUUUGCAUGCUUCGCUUAUCGAGGCGCACUUAUUAGUCGGGGCUGAAAGAGAGAUUAAGCCGGCGCAAAAUGUGGUGACUAAUCCUUUUAAAUGUGGCAGCGGGUCUUGAGGUGCAAACCGGGGCGGCCCGGCCCCGCGCGUACCUUCGCUGCGGCGGAAUGUGACGGGUCGCGACGUCGACGCGAGGGAGACGGAGGAUGAGAGUUUGGCAAGGACGCUUUAUUGGUGACCAUCUCUCGACCCUCUUAUCUCUGCAACCGAAGCGCCGUGUGGGGCCGGCCCCAUGUCAGAUUUUUAAAUUUUUUUUUUCCUCUUUGAAUUCUUUGUCGCAUACUGCAUGUCUUUGCUACUCGAUGAAAAUGUAAGGAACAGAAAAGCCCCCCCCCCCCCCCCCACCCGUCCCCACUUCUCUCCCUUGAGUGAGGAAAUAUUUGUUCUGCUGAGUUACAGAGCCAGUAGCCCUGUCCUCAUCCGUAAUUGACUGCAAACAUGAACAUCUAAACACCGCCUGCACUCACCCUCCACUUCAGCUUCCACCUCCUGCUUUUGCUACACGGUGACGUUAAGGUCGGCAAUGAUUCCUCCUCUCCCCUCCGUGCGGUGUCAUAGCUGAAGGCCAGCUGCUCAUUUUUGUCUGUGCCGACGCAAAGAGAGAAGGAUAGCGAAAGGGACGGAGCGGGCGCAGGAGUUUGCUGUAUUUCUUUCCUUUUUUUUUUUUUAAAGUUGGUAAGUUGAUAGGAUUACAUGGUUCUGGAGCCUACACCUGUUAAGAGGCUGUUAGAAGAACAGUUGGCAGUCCCGUGGCUGCGCAGCUAAGCUUUUUUUUUUCCUCCCCCCCCACCCACCCCCUUAUCUGUUGUCCGUUCUGUGCCGCCUUGUGGGGAUUUUACCCGGCAUGUCGUCGGGGAGUUCAUUUGGCAGGGCUCCUGCCAUAGUGGAAGAGGGCGGGCGGGGGUGGGGGCGUGGGGGGGUGCUCCUUUUGACAUGCGAGUAUGUGUUCAAGUGCAUAUCCUGCAUCGGUCUGUGUGUGCGUGCGUGCGUACGAUCAGAUUGCCCUCCCCCCCCCCCCCCCCACCCCCGAGACUCAUUGUCUCCGUGCAGUCGCGCUUCCUUCUUUGACCUCAGUCACACGGCCCGAGAGCCACCCCAGCAAAGAACGUAUCAGCAGCACAAGUUUUGGUUUGUUUUUCCUCAUGGGUUGGGGACAGGUGUUGGCAGAGGCAUAAAAUGCCCAAAUACUGGUUAAACCAGACCAUUUAAAUGAUUAAGGGUUAGGUUGAGAACAUUUGUGCAUAUUUUAGGAGUGCCAAAGACCUGUUGUCAAUCAAAAAUACUUUUGGAAGGAGUGGAGAAAUGAGUAAUGCAUAAAAUGUCUUGCUUGUUUUCUCUUGUUCGCCUAUUAUUUAAAAGGAAAACAGUGGUGAAUUGUUGUCGCGGGCCGGGAGAGCAAAUGCGCAGGAGACCGUUUGGAAGUGGUGGUGACGGUUAUCA